rnacentral:tRNA from 1 species
GGUGGGCUCAGUGGUAGGGUGCUUGCCUCUCAUGCAUGAGGCCUUGGGUUCGACUCAACACCA